rnacentral:pre_miRNA from 1 species
AUAUGAAUCACCUGGGGAUCUUGUUAAUAUACACAUUCUGAUUCAGGAGGUCUGAGGAGGGCCUGAGAUUCUGGAUUUUUAACAAGCUCCCACGGGGUGUGGAU